AAGCAAAAUUAAAAUUAAAAAACGAAGAACGGUGCGCUUUGGUUUGGAUAAACUCAAGUUAGUGACUGUUCCGAUUCUCAGACCUUCUCAAUCUUGUUUUACUUUUCUCGCUCACGGCGGCGGCGAUGCUCAUGCCGCCACGAUAGUCGCAUACUACCGACAAUCCUUGCUUAACCACAAACCUAGACUCUGCUCUCUCAAACCUACAUCCAAUCAUCCCAAUUUACACAUUCAGAGAACCCUAGGUUACGCUAAAAACUCAAUCAGGCGGUAAUGGCGGUGAAUCGAAGGGCACUAUCAUGGGGAAAUGUUUAGCAUCUAUCAACGAACGCGAAUGCAUCAACAUGGAAUCAGGGAGGAGUUCGUGUUUACCUGAUGCGCCGAAAGAAGAUUGAAGAGAAUACCGGAGGUGAGGUUUGAUGGAUCUGUCAGCAUAGUGAUGUUGUUUGGUUUUUAUGAGGGCUGAUUUUUUUUGUGGCAGCAACUCACGGAUAUGAGAUCAUGGUCUGAGUUUAAAGAGUUUGUAUGGUGUAACUACGUUGAAUCUUCAAUGCUAAACCGUUAGUAAAAUGCCGCAGGUUUAUACAGGGCUGAUUGUAGAUAUGUGCGGGGACUGAUUUGGCUGGAAGUUAUGGCAUAGCAUGGUGCGGUUAGAAGGCUAUUAGGGUGUUGGAUUUGUGGAAUGCAGCAUGUUUGAAUGGUAGUUAUAUGUUAACUGUUGGGAAAUUGUGUGUAGUUUGAAUGCAGGAUUGGAAUGAAUUAAGAGGCAAGGACCACGAAGCGGUUGCAGGGAUCUUGGAAUAUACUGAGGCGCGAAGAGGAGCAUAGUUUAGCACGAGCCUUUCUUUUGUACUUCUUUUUUUGAUGGAAUGUAAUGACGGAAAUAACUUAGAAUUGAAUCUUGUGUAAAUGUGAAGGAUUUUGAAAUGGGUAGUGUAUUAUGUAUGGGACUUGAGUGUAGGUAUAUGGUAUUCUGUAAAACGGAACUUGAAUGUGGGCUUUUUGUAAUGGAUUCCGAAUGAUAAGCCUAAUUUGAGGCCAAAUUGAAUGAUGUUGAACUUGACGUUUGAACGAGGAUGAACUGUUGGUGGAUGUAAUAAUGGACAAAACAUUUUCAAAUGAAGUUUGAAUCUUCUUUUUUCGACUUUGCAUUCCGCUUUCAAUUUUUGCAUGACUUCUUUAAUUCAUUCCGUACUUUAUAUCCUUGUGUGAUUAUUGUCAUUGAAAAGAAUUCAACCCUUUGCUUUAAGGAUUCUCAGUGCCUGGAAUGAUACUAAAAACUCCAAAUCUCCCUCCAUUCUAAAAAGAGCUCAUCAAAAGCUCACCUUCACGAAUGAUCCGGUGUUAAUCAACUCACUAUGAUCUUAGUCCUUAAAGUCCAAGUCCUUGAAUGAAAUCUUAAUCCAUGAAAGCUUGUUAAUUACCACGUAUUAAAGGGAGAACCCAUUGCACGAAAAUCAUCUGAUAAUACCAAUAAUAACUCAAGCAAAGGGAAA